AUCAACCCCACCCAUAUGCUGGUUAUAGGCCUUGAUGCACAGUGAUCCAAAGUCCUCUCAGUGUGGAUGGUGGUAAAAAGGUACACAUCCUUCUUGUCUGUGUACAACUGCCAACAGCUCCUCUUGGCGCAGAGCUGAGGUCUCCCCCCUUCGUAGCUGGGUGCGUGCAAGUUGUCCUGGGAAACCUGCGUGGUUCUUUCUGAUUGUA